GUUAGGUUAGCCUGUUAGGAGGACGAGGGUGUGAGGGCGUGAGAUGUUGUGUAGAGAGGUUAGGUUAGGUUAGGUUAGGUUAGCCUGUUAGUAGGACGAGGGUGUGAGGGAGUGAGAUGUUGUGUAGAGAGGUUAGGUUAGGUUAGGUUAGCCUGUUAGGAGGACGAGGGUGUGAGGGAGUGAGAUGUUGUGUAGAGAGGUUAGGUUAGGUUAGGUUAGCCUGUUAGGAGGACGAGGGUGUGAGGGAGUGAGAUGUUGUGUAGAGAGGUUAGGUUAGGUUAGCCUGUUAGGAGGACGAGGGUGUGAGGGAGUGAGAUGUUGUGUAGAGAGGUUAGGUUAGGUUAGCCUGUUAGUAGGACGAGGGUGUGAGGGAGUGAGAUGUUGUGUAGAGAGGUUAGGUUAGGUUAGGUUAGCCUGUUAGUAGGACGAGGGUGUGAGGGAGUGAGAUGUGGUGUGGAGAGGUUAGGUUAGGUUAGGUUAGGUUAGGUUAGGUUAGCCUGUUAGGAGGACGAGGGUGUGAGGGCGUGAGAUGUGGUGUGGAGAGGUUAGGUUAGGUUAGCCUGUUAGGAGGACGAGGGUGUGAGGGCGUGAGAUGUGGUGUGAAGAGGUUAGGUUAGGUUAGGUUAGGUUAGCCUGUUAGUAGGACGAGGGUGUGAGGGCGUGAGAUGUGGGUGGAGAGGUU